rnacentral:lncRNA from 1 species
AGGAAUUCCGAAAAGCAGCGUGGCAACGGCGAUUACAUAUCUUGCCAAUUUUCUGUCUGAAGUAUCCACCCCAAUCCAAAUCCGAAGUGUCUGCAUUUUCGGUUAUAAUCUUGAAGAUAUUGGUCGGGUUUAUCCGGUACUCUUGAUUUCAAUCGUUUGCUGCAAGUGUUCUCGUUUGAAGCCACAGUUCCAGCUUCUCAAGAUCACUGUCAGUCUAUCAUUUUUCUCAUCCAAGUCCAAAAUCAUUAGGAAUGGUAAUGGAGGCACCACCAUCUCCCCAAAGCGUUGGCAGAGAGUUCGUUCGGCAGUAUUACACCUUGCUGAAUCGGGACCCAAGCCAUCAGCAUAGGUUCUUCAAUCAUCUAUCUUCGUUUAUCCAUGGAGGACUGGAGCCCAAUCGGGAGACUAACCCAAUCAUCGGGCAGAAGCAGAUUCACCUAAAGAUUCAACAGCUUCACUUUAGAGAUUGCCA